GAUGAAGAACGUAGCGAAAUGCGAUAAGUAAUGUGAAUUGCAGAAUUCAGUGAAUCAUCGAAUCUUUGAACGCACCUUGCGCUCCUUGGUAUUCCGAGGAGCAUGCCUGUUUGAGUGUCAUUAAUAUAUCAACCUUCUCUUUUUUGAGUUGUUUGGAUGUGGGGGUUUGCUGGCCUCUUAAAUGAUUCAGCUCCCCUGAAAUGCAUUAGCAGAACAACCUGUUCAUUAGCGUGAUAAUUAUCUAUGCUAUUGAAUGUGAGGGCAGUUCAGCUUUCUAACCGUCCUUGGACAAUUCUUCAUUAAUGUGACCUCAAAUCAGGUAGGACUACCCGCUGAACUUAAGCAUAUCAAUAAGCGGAGGA
rnacentral:misc_RNA from 1 species